rnacentral:lncRNA from 10 species
AGAAGAUGCCAGCUUGCAAGAGAGCCCAGUCUGUCUUCCUAACCCAGUGGGCCUGAUGAAGGAAGCUGAAGAAGGACCACAGAAAUGUGGGUCAGUUUCAUACACUGAUUGUGAUUCUGUCCCUGUCUACGCCUUGGAAACUCACAGUCAAUCCACAUCCCUGGAAAAGGUGGGGCACAGGAAGAGAGUGAGAGGGGGAGUUUCUACACCUCCUACAGGGAUACAACAGUGAGCAUGGUGGGCAUGGUCCCUGUUUUCAGGGAGCUUACAGUCCAGCAGGGGCGAUCGUCACGGACAUGAUUUUGUUAUUGCAAGGGCCACCUCAAUUGCCCCACUUUGGGGAACUGCUGUACCCUCACUCCAAUCAUGGCAUUCUAGUGGACUCUCUAGUCACUGUACCCCACCCUGUGGCCACACGGGUAAUCAAGGGAUGGGGGAAGAGACCGUGGAGCUGCCUUCAUUUCCAGAGCUGCAAUGUUGCCAGUUGGAUUGCUGGUGACCAUCUUCCCUAACAUGGAGAACAUUCAUCUACAGUAACAGAAAAGAAAAGAAACAGAGAAGAAUUCAGGGACAAAAAGAGAUGAGACAAUAUCAUCUGAAUUCCUCCAUCCAGUCUGCUUCUGGGCCCAACCACCUCCAGGUGAAAGACUGACUCCGUUCUUUAUUUCACAAGCUUUUACUGAGCUCCCAGUGCAGGAAGGAGAAUGCAGAAGAGUAAGGUAGUGUCACUGUCCUUGGGGGAGUGAUUGUGCUGUGACAGACAUAUGUACAUGUGCAUGGAUGCAGAUACACAUAUGCACACACUCAUGGGGGUAACACAUGGGGCACAAAAGCAAAAGUGUGCAACUCUCAUCUGGGCAAACAUCUGGGAGGCGGUGGCUCCACAAAGACUUCAUGGAGUUGGUGGCCCCAGAGGAGUCUUGAAGCUCCAUUGGCAAGAGCAAUCCUCAAUGGGCCUGCCCUUCCAAGUAAGAGCCUAGGUUUCCAAAGCUGCUUAGUUGGAAAUCCUUUGUGGACCUGUUGCUAAGAAUAAGCCCUUGUCACAUGAGCACACUGCUGAGCUGAAGGCCUUCUCUCAGAGGUGGCACAAUACUGGAAGGGAACCAUCGAAUGCGGAUGCCCUGAGCUGUCACCCCCACAGAUUCCCAUUGUGUCCCAUCAUUUCCUCCGGAAGUUUCAAUGUUGGAAGGCCGACCUGACCUACCUCUUCAGGUUGAACAAAUGGCCCAAUUAUCUGUGUACGAUCUCAGAUUGUCUUGAGCUGAAUGGAUGGGAAUGGGGGGGCGGCUGUCUUGAAAAGAAAAUGCCAGAGGGAGUCCAGCCAUCCGCAAGCUGUUAGCUGGAGCCGAUUGCCCACAAAGGAUCCCUUUGUUAUUCCAGGAGGUGUUGUCACAAGAGCUUGGCCACAGCUCUCGAAGCACAUCCAGGAACAGUUCUAGUGAGAGCGUUGGCAGGGAGCUCUGUCUGGUGGCCUGGAACAGAUUCUAAUCUUGAGGAGACUGGGAGGGGUAACACCCGCCAACCUGCUUAGCACCACCUGCCCGGGAGCUGGCCGUCCCAUGGGCAGUGACCAGGGAGCAUGGCCAGCACUCCGCAGUGAUGGGGCCAGAGCUUCUCAAGGAAAGGGCUUGUGAGUUUCUGGCUAGCUUCUUCUCUGAAAGCUUCCAGGGGCUCCUGCUUCCAUCUUAAACAACUGUGGGACAAUAGCAGAAACAAUGGACUAGAGAGGCAGAUCCAUGGCCACCAAGCUGUUAAGCGGCAAAACUGGGGAUUCGAAUCCUGGUGUCUCAGAGAUGAAGCACUUCCCAACUAAGCCAGGGGCCCAUGACUGUAGUCACCUAACUACCUGGGAAUCUUUAAGAAACACCAAAGCCGCCGGGCGCGGUGGCUCACGCCUGUAAUCCCAGCACUUUGGGAGGCCAAGGCAGGCAGAUCACGAGGUCAGGAGAUCGAGACCAUGCUGGCUAACACGGUGAAACCCGUCUCUACUAAAAAUACAAAAAAUUAGCCAGGCGUGGUGGCGGGCGCCUGUAGUCUCAGCUACUCAGGAGGCUGAGGCAGGAGAAUGGCGUGAACCCAGGAGGCGGACGGAGCUUGCUGUGAGCCGAGAUUGUGCCACUGCACUCCAGCCUGGGGAACAGAGCGAGACUCUGUCUCAAAACAAAAAACAAACAAACAAACAACAACAACAACAAAAAACAAAGAAAAAAGAAACCCCAAAGCCUGGGCCCUGCCCUCACAAUCUCUGGAUACUCUGACCCCGUGGGUGUGGGAGUUUUCAGACCUCCCUGGGUAAUGCUGAUGCCCAGCCAGGGCUGAGCUCUCCUACACUCCAGUUCCUGCAUGCUCUGCCCUUUGCAAUACCCCGUUGUCCUCGUGGCGCUCCUGCUAUGAAUGAGCCAGCUCCCUCUAGUCUGUGAACUUCCUGACAGCAGAGUUCACGUUUUUCAUCUUUAUGUCCCCAACAUGCAGCACAAUCUCUGGCACACUUUUGGAAGAGUGCUUAGAACUCUGCAAGAGAGAGGAACUGAGACUGAGAUGAGGAAGUUUCGGGGAGGCAGACAGACUUGGCCUGCCCAAUACAUGAAGUGUUGACCGAAAGGAAGGGCUGCCCACCAUGUAUUGAGCUCCCCACUGGAAGAAGUAAUCAAGAAGAAGCAGAAGCUGAUGCUUCCUAAGGGACUACUGCCUAUGUUCAGAUUCUAUUUGUUUCUCUCCACCAUCACCAAAGUGAGCAUUUCCACCUCACAGUUCUUAUUCCUAGAGGCACAGAGUCUCCUACAGGAAAGCAACAGGGAAAUCUACUUCAGCCUCCAGCCAACCCUGUGCAGAAAUCCCCUCAGCUGCAGCUCCAUCCUCUCUGUAGUGGGGACCUUAUUCCACAUCGCGAAGUCAGCUUGGACAGCUCUGAUGACUAGAAAAUUCCUCCUUUCUUGGGUCAAGGUUCAUGCUCUGCAACUCCUGUCAUUUGGCCCUGGUUCUGCCCUCUGGAGUGGCAUCAUUCCUUCAUCCCACUCAUAGGGUUGCAUAGGCUGCAGAAAGGACUUUGGAUUUUAUGUCAAGUGAAAUGGGGGCCACAUGAAGUAUCAUUAAACCAGGGGGCAGGGAUGGCAACGUGAUUUGAUUUCUGAUUUCAAAAGAACACUGUGGGCCAGGUGCGGUGGCUCCUACCUGUAAUCCCAGCACUUUGAGAGGCUGAGGCGGGUGGAUCACCUGAGGUCAGGUGUUCGAGACCAGCUUGGCCAACAUGGUGAAACACCGUCUCUACUAAAUACAAAAAAUUAUCUGGGUGUGGUGGCGGGCACCUGUAAUCCCAGCUACUUGGGAGGCUGAGGCAGGAGAAUCGCUUGAACCCAGGAGGCGGGGGUUGCAGUGAGCUGAGAUUGCACCAUUGCACUUCAGCCUGGGCAACAAGAGCAAGACUCUGUCUCAAAAAAGGAAAAAGAAAAGAAAAGAAACCCACUGUGUUACUGUGUGGAAUCUGGAUUACAGGGGAGUAACAGGAGAACCCAGCCGAUGGGUUGGGAAGCUCCUGGAAUCAUUCAAACAAGAGAUGAUGGUAGCUUGGGCAGUGGUGCUAGCAGGGAAGAUGGAUUUGGGAUGUGUUUUGGGUACAGAGCCAGCAAGACUUGCUGAUGGAUUGGAUGUGCAUAUGCUAGUAUUUGCCUAGUAUAAGAGAAUCUUGGCCUUAUGUGUCAUCUUUAUUAACAAGAAAUAGCUAAAUUUAAAAUAUUCGUAUUUUCGUAUGCAGAGGAUGGAUAAUUUAAUCUAUUCAUGAUUACUGAGAUCGCUUUUGUUUUGAUUUCUAUCUCUGCGUUGUUGUUGCUUUUCUGGUUGUUAUCUUUAUUCUCAUUCCUGAUUUUCUAGAUUUAUUGUCUUGUUUCUUAUCUCUUCCCCUAUUUUCUUUUCCCCUUUUAAACAAGUUACUUGUAACAUAUCUGACAUACAAG